UGACCGAGAUGAGGAGAAACUUCUUCACACGGAGACUGGUGAAUCUGUGGAAUUCUCUGCCACAGGAAACAGUUGAGGCCGGUUCAUUGGCUAUAUUUAAGAUGAAGUUAGAUAUGGCCCUUGUGGCUAAAGGGAUCAGGGGGUAUGGAGAGAAAGCAGAUACAGGGUUCUGAGUUGGAUAGUCAGCCAUGAUCAUACUGAACGGCGGUGCAGGCUCGAAGGGCCGAAUGGCCUACUCCUGCACCUAUUUUCUAUGUUUCUAUGGUGUCCCCGAGCUCUUCACAGGCAAUGAAGUAGUUUCAAAGUACAGCCCUGUUGUAGAGUCGGGAAUGUGGAGCCACUCUGCACACAGCAGAAUCCACAAACUGCAAGGGGAGAACGAUCCGACAGUCUGUUCUGGAGAUGUUAUUGAAGGAGAAAUAUUGUCCAGGACACCGUGGACACAGUGAUCCAAUGGACAGGCAGAAAGUUGGAUUCGGAGUGAUGGGAAACAGGGCAGUACAUCAAAGCAGAUGAGUAGUGCAGAGGGAUGGAUGAACAGUCCAUGGUUACCACCACAACAAAACUGACAAAUCUAAACUCAGUUCAUCAUAAUCUGCAACAGGUUUGGAUCUGUGGUCAGAUUUCCAUCAUCUUAAUAAUUGGUAUUGUUUUUAAAUCUAGUCAUUAGUAAUGAUGACCCUUCGGUUUUACUGAUGUCCCUCAGGGAAGGAGAUGUCUCAUCCUCACCAUCCUUACCCUUUGCAGCAAUAUAGGACCCUGGUCAGACCCCACUUGGAGUACUGUGCUCAGUUCUGGUCACCUCACUACAGGAAGGAUGUGGAAGCCAUAGAAAGGGUGCAGAGAAGAUUUACAAGGAUGGUUCCUGGAUUGGGAGCAUGCCUUAUGAGGAUAGAUUGAGUGAACUUGGCCUUUUCUCAUUGGGGCAAUGGAGGAUGAUAGAGUUGAAAAAGAUAAUGAGAGGCAUUGAUCGUGUGGAGAGUCAGAGGCUUUUUCCCAGGGCUGAAAUGGUUGCAACAAGAGGACACAGGGUUCAGCUGCAAUUCAUUCAGACUUUACCGGCAAAGCCCAGAUCCCAAAAGACGAAUGAAUAAAUAAAAUUGCCCAUCUGUUGUUCAUACUCCCCGAUGUUCUAUCCACUUACUACAAUACAGACUGAAAUCAGACUGAACCUCCACCAAUCUGCUGAUUCACCAUCGAUCGUUUUGUACAAAUACCCAGCUCCUGUGACCCACCCAGAUCUUUCCCCUCUACACCCCAGCACUCUGUGACCCACCCAGAUCCAGUUCCCCUCUUCACCCCAGCACCCUGUGACACACCCAGAUCCAGUUCCCCUCUUCACCCCAGCACCCUGUGACCCACCCAGAUCCAGUUUCCCACUUCACCCCAGCACCCUGUGACCCACCCAGAUCCAGUUCCCCUCUUCACCCAGCACCCUGCUAUCAGUUUGAUGGGUGUUUUUAUAAAGACCCAGAGGAACACUGAUCCAGACAGAACUGUACUUACCACCUGCUGGUCCCGGGAUGUAAAAGAUCCUCAGCUGCAAUCCUCAGCUGACAUUAUUGUGCCUCCUGCACUGUCAACACUGAGCAGCUCAGGGAACAUCUGUGGGGUGAGAAACAGAGUUAAUGUUUCACAUCAGUGACCUUUCACCAAACUCCGUCAGUCUGGUUUCUGGCUACUACACCGUUCCCAGUUUUCUUUUACUGAAUUCAGAGAGACGUGGAGGGAAAUAAUCUACUAACCAGAGAAACUCCGGAUGCAACGUACCUUUCCUAUUUUGAUGAAAACAAUUUGUUUUUUUUUGGCUUCUACAACCCCAGAACAUCCCAGGGCCUUUCCCAACCCAGCAAGUACUUCUGCAGUGUGUCACUUGUCCACAAGCUGAACUACAACAUGGCAAUCUAGUCUGUUUGGGUGAUGUUGGAAGGGAAUGGUCACUUUUAGCCUACAAUUCCUAAAGCUCCCCGCCAUUGGAAAAUCUUCAUUUGAAGUCUGAAAAUUCAAAGUAAAAUUUAUUAUCAGGGUACAGAUAUGUCACCACAUACAACUCUGAGAUUCAUUUUCUUGUGGGCAUACUCAGCAAAUCUAUAGAAUUGUAACUGUAAACAGGAUCAAUGAAACAGCAAGAGCAUAGAAGACAAUAAACUGUUGAAAUGCAACCCUAAAUAAAUAGCGAUAAAUAACAAAGUAAAGAGUCCUUAAAGUGAGAUAAUUGUUUAUGGGAACAUCUCAAUAGAUGAAUGUAAAUAUCCUCUUUUAUUCAAGAGCCGGAUGGUUGAGGGUAGUAACUGUUCUUGAAACUGGUGCUGUGAGUCCUGAGGCUCUUGUUCCUUCUGCCUGAUGGCAGCAGUGAGAAAAGAGCCUGGCCUGGGUGGUGAGGAUCUUUGAUGAUAGAUGCUGCUUUCUUACGACAGCAUUUCAUGUAGAUGUGCUCAAUGGUUGAGAGUGCUUUACCCAUUAUUUACUGGGCUGUAUCCACUAUCGUUUGCAGUGUUUUCCAUUCAAAGGCAUUGCUGUUCCCUUACCAGGCUGUAAAGCAGCCAAUCAAUACACUUCCCACUACACAUCUAUAGAAGUUUAUCAAGGUUUUAGACAUCGUGCCAAAUCUCCACAGACUCCUGAGGAAGUAGGGGCACUGUCCUUCCUCUGCAAUUACAUUUAUAUGCUGAGUCCAGGACAGGUCCUCUGAGAUAGUGACACCCAGGAAUUUAAAGUUACUGACUGUGUGGUAGAUGAAUAGAUAGUCACAGAUUACUGAUGGUUGUCCUGAUGGUCCCAGGUCUUUGAUCCCAUAACUCCCUUGUUGUCAAGGGUUGACGCUGAUAAACAGCAGCAAGGUUCCUCAGACCGCAGCUGACAUCUCUUUCCCCUGCUGCUCAAUACAAGGGAAACUGAAGAUACUGUGGUUUGAAUGGUGCUGGCUGUAGCUGGCAUUCCCGAAGUGAACCAUUUACCAGUGUCUAGCCACUUACACUGGAGUCAGUCUCACAGUUCCAUAGACCACUGUGCCCCAAGAUUUACUGAGUGACAGAUGCCACCAGAACUGUCACCACACUCCACCACAUGACACGGGACCUUGCUGGAGUUCCCUGGAUUAAACUGGGGUUUCCACCUCCAUGAUUCCCUCGCAGACUAGACUUGUCAAAGGAUCACAGUCACCAUUCAUCUCAGUGCGAUUCUGGGCCUGGUGUGUUGGGAAGGCGUUUGGCUUGUAAUUUCCACAGGCUCGGUGCGGUUGAAGUUCUUCCUCAGUUGCAUGGGUUGAAUUUUGAACGGUGUCAGAUGCAUCAAGGAGUGCAGAGGGUGCAUCAGAAGUGCGGAAGACUUCGGAGUCCUCGUGCGAGUCUCCCAGAAGAGGACAAGACCACACCAUCAGUCUACAUCACAAGUUCCUGCAACACAGAAUCUGACCAAGGCAUCAGGCUCCUCUGUCUGGUCAAGGACUAUCAGCCUGAGAGCAUCAGUCAGACAUGGUCCACUAACAGUGGGGACAUCACCACUGGAAUCAAGAAAUACCCGGCGGUGUUGGGGCAAAAUUCAAAGUACACGAUGAGCAGCUUGCUCGAAGUCUCUGCGGCAGACUGGAAGAAGAAUAAAGUCUACACGUGCAAGGCAGGGACGGUGACAGUGGGGUUCCAGCCAUUACAGAAACCUCAAUCUCCGAAGCUCAGCUCCCUUGUUCCAUCCCGGGAGAUGAUCCACAGUCAAGCAAAUGCUGUCCUGGGCUGUGUGAUAUCUGGAUUCUCUCCCGACAACGUUCAGGUAUCCUGGAAAAAAGCUGGAUCUGCCCAAGAAGGCAUCGUUCUCCCUUCCACUCGGAGAUCUGGUGGUGGAUUUGAAACAAUCGCUUAUCUGACAGUGCCUGUGCAGGAAUGGACCAAGAAACAGAAAUAUACUUGUGAAGUGAAUCACACACCUUCCGGUUUCAGUGGUCAGGUCAACAUGACGUAUCAAGAAGAAUUGUCUGUCUUUAUUCAAAAUCCUGACAUUGAAGAGAUGUGGAACUACAAGACUGCUACCGUGAAGUGCACGGUUCUCUGUACAGAUCCCGAAGAUAUCCACAUCUCUUGGCACGUGGGCGGGAAGGAGAAAACUAAAGGAAUUCACACCCAUCAAGCGGAGAGGGACGGGUCCCGAUACAGAGUGCUCAGCGAACUCCAGAUCAGUGUGGAGGAGUGGUUCAGUGGGGUGGAGUACGAGUGCUCUGCUCAGGAAUCUCCUUCAUCUUCCCGAGUGUCAGCACGGACCAAUAGUACCAAAGUCGAGAUAAGAGGUCCCAAGGUCAGACUGCUGCCUCCACCUCAGGAAGAGACCACGAAGAGACAAACGGCCAUACUGGAGUGUGUGGUCUCUGGAUUCUACCCGGACCAAAUAAAUGUCAUCUGGGAGAAAGGCAGCACUGUGAUCACCUCCAACACCAGCGCUACACCGACCACUCUGGAGCAGGGGUGGACUUUCAGUGCCAGACACUUCCUGACCGUGAGUUUACAGGAGUGGGAGACAGAAUCAGAAUCAGUCUUCAGCUGUACAGUGAUUCAUCCCCCCUCCAACACACGUAUCAAGAAGCAAGUGAAGAAUAUCCAAGCUGAAUGUUCAGACACUUCAGUCACUUUAAGCAAACCUUCCUUCGAAGAGAUCUGGACGAAGAGGACAGCAACCAUUCUGUGUGAGGUGGUUCACAGUGAUUUACUGGGAUUCAGUGUAACCUGGCAGGUGGACGGAAGGAAGAGGGAAGAUGGGGUGAGGACUUUGGGUCCAGACAGCAGCGGAGGUGAAGACAUGAUCACCAGCAGACUGACAGUCCCUGCUGCAGAGUGGAACAGUGGGGCUGAGUUCUCGUGUGUGAUAGAGGAUGAGAGUUUGCCAACACCAGUGAAGAAAUCCAUCAGGAAGGACACAGGUGGUGUUGUGACUCAUCCUCAGGUCUACCUCCUCCCCCCAUCAUCGGAUGAGAUAGACACCGAUCAGACUGGGACCUUGAUGUGUCUGGUCACCAAGUUCUCUCCCGCAGAGAUCUAUGUGGCCUGGAUGGCCAAUGACACCCUCCUGAAGACAGGGUUUGUGAACCAGCCGGUGACCAAGGACCCCAGAAAAGGCUGGAACACAAUGACCAGUCAGCUGAAGGUUUCUCCUGAGGAGUGGAAGAGCGGCACCACUUUCUCCUGUGUGGUGGGUCAUGAGUCGCUCACAACCAACCUGUUCCGAAGCAUCAAUAAAUCUCACAGCAAACCCACUCUGGUCAAUGUCUCACUUGUUCUGACUGAUAGUUUUAAAUCUUGUGUGUAACACUGUGUGAUUCAAUCCAUGAAACCCUAGUUUUGUUAGUUUUACGAUUAUUAAUUAUCACAGAGGGUUAUUUUGCUGAUUAAAACAUGUUUAAGAUCUGGACCUUUUGAAAUAACUAAGAAUAAAAUUAAGAUCAAGAACAAAAUUAAGGAACAAACAUGAUUCACCUCAAAUCUCUGAGUUUGUACGUACAUCCUAAGACCUUCUUCUGCCAUGUUUGAAUGGAUUUCAACCCUGUGUGGGACUGCACAAUGUAUUAAAUCUCUGUUUGUGUCAAUGUACCGAUCCAAGUACAAUAAAUAUGAUUUGAAAAUG